GAAAAUGUGUCCUCAUAACAGUGCUGCAGGGGCGUACAGUAUAUAAACCAAACAUGCUUCCUGCAACACCACUGUAGAUGAGCCUGUUGGAUGAAGCUGUCAACUCAGAAGGACUUCUACGUGUGCUGUUAUCUCUGACUUCAACAUCAUGAAGUUAAUUCUGGUUUUACAGCAUCUGCUGCUGUUCAUACCAGUCCUGCCACUGACCAGGGCACAAACGACUACUGAAACAACAUUGACAGAAACUACCACAGCAGAAUCAGCAGCAACCAGCACAGAUCCAUCAUCAGAAACCACCGCAUUCACAAGCACCACAGUUCCACC